UACGGGGGGAGCAAGGGUUGUUCGGAUUUACUGGGCGUAAAGGGCGCGUAGGCGGCCACCGCAAGUCGACUGUGAAAUCUCCGGGCUUAACCCGGAAAGGUCAGCCGAUACUGCGGGGCUAGAGUGCAGAAGGGGCAACUGGAAUUCUCGGUGUAGCGGUGAAAUGCGUAGAUAUCGAGAGGAACACCUGCGGCGAAGGCGGGUCUCUGGGCCGUAACUGACGCUGAGGAGCGAAAGCGUGGGGAGCGAACAGG
rnacentral:rRNA from 1 species